CCGGCGCACGGGUGAGUAACACGUAUCCAACCUGCCGUCUACUCUUGGACAGCCUUCUGAAGGAAGAUUAAUACAAGAUGGCAUCAUGAGUCCGCAUGUUCACAUGAUUAAAGGUAUUCCGGUAGACGAUGGGGAUGCGUUCCAUUAGAUAGUAGGCGGGGUAACGGCCCACCUAGUCUUCGAUGGAUAGGGGUUCUGGGAGGAAGGUCCCCCACAUUGGAACUGAGACACGGUCCAA
rnacentral:rRNA from 1 species